rnacentral:rRNA from 1 species
UACGUAGGGUGCAAGCGUUAAUCGGAAUUACUGGGCGUAAAGCGUGUGUAGGCGGCCACGUAAGUCGGAUGUAAAAGCCCCAGGCUCAACCUGGGAAGUGCACUCGAUACUGCGUGGCUUGAGUAUCGGAGAGGUUGGUGGAAUUCUCGGUGUAGAGGUGAAAUUCGUAGAUAUCGAGAGGAACACCGGUGGCGAAGGCGGCCAACUGGACGAAUACUGACGCUGAGACACGAAAGCGUGGGGAGCAAACAGG